CCUCAAGUCACUGAAGCUUCUGCAGCUUCUCAGGGGCUGGAGCCUCUGCUCGAGCCUCAGGGAGAUCUCAGGGAGAAUCAUCAGGAGAGCCUGGAGAAGGAGACCUUUCCGGCAGGAGGCAGUCACAGCCUGCCAGCCUCUGAUGAAGAGAGAGAGGCAACUCAAGCAACAGGCAUGCCAGCGCUUCCAAGUGUGUCACAGCCCGGAGAAGCCCUGCACGACAGGAAAUACGCCUUUUUUCCAAAGCACCGAGGUUUGGCUAGUGGGAGAAGUGCAGCUGCCGCAGAGCCAAAAGACAUACAAAAGCAU